rnacentral:sRNA from 1 species
GCUGGGCGUGGUGGCGGGCGCCUGUAGUCCCAGCUACUCAGGAGGCUGAGGCAGGAGAAUUGCUUGAACCCGGGAGGCGGAGGUUGCAGUGAGCUGAGAUCACGCUACUGCACUCCAGCCUGGGUGACAGAGCAAGACCCUGUCUCAA